rnacentral:tRNA from 1 species
GCCUGGAUAGCUCAGUGGUAGAGCGAAGGUCUGAAGAACCUUGCGUCGGGGGUUCAAUUCCCUCUCCAGGCA